rfam:Ictidomys tridecemlineatus contig008250, whole genome shotgun sequence.
UGGGGUGUGGCUUAGUGGUAGAGUGCUUGACUAGCAUGCAUGAGGCACUGGCUUCAAUCCCCAGCACCACAU